UACGAAGGGGGCUAGCGUUGCUCGGAAUCAUUGGGCGUAAAGGGCGCGUAGGCGGCUGAUCAAGUCGGGUGUGAAAUCCCUCGGCUCAACCGAGGAACUGCAUUCGAUACUGGUCGGCUAGAGUCCGGGAGGGGAUGGUGGAAUUCCCAGUGUAGCGGUGAAAUGCGUAGAUAUUGGGAAGAACACCGGUGGCGAAGGCGGCCAUCUGGACCGGUACUGACGCUGAGGCGCGAAAGCCAGGGGAGCGAAUGGG
rnacentral:rRNA from 1 species